GAUGAACGCUGGCGGCGUGCCUAAUACAUGCAAGUCGAGCGAACAGACGAGGAGCUUGCUCCUCUGACGUUAGCGGCGGACGGGUGAGUAACACGUGGAUAACCUACCUAUAAGACUGGGAUAACUUCGGGAAACCGGAGCUAAUACCGGAUAAUAUAUUGAACCGCAUGGUUCAAUAGUGAAAGACGGUUUUGCUGUCACUUAUAGAUGGAUCCGCGCCGCAUUAGCUAGUUGGUAAGGUAACGGCUUACCAAGGCAACGAUGCGUAGCCGACCUGAGAGGGUGAUCGGCCACACUGGAACUGAGACACGGUCCAGACUCCGACGGGAGGCAGCAGUAGGGAAUCUUCCGCAAUGGGCGAAGGCGUGACGGAGCAACGCCGCGUGAGUGAUGAAGGUCUUCGGAUCGUAAAACUCUGUUAUUAGGGAAGAACAAAUGUGUAAGUAACUAUGCACGUCUUGACGGUACCUAAUCAGAAAGCCACGGCUAACUACGUG
rnacentral:rRNA from 1 species